rnacentral:rRNA from 1 species
CCCCUAGAUGUUCUGGGCCGCACGCGCGCUACACUGAACAGUUCAACAAGUCUUAACCUUGGCCGAUAGGUCUGGGUAAUCUUUGAACGCUGUUCGUGAUUGGGAUAGACCUUUGCAAUUAUGGGUCUUCAACGAGGAAUUCCUAGUAAACGCAAGUCAUCAGCUUGCAUUGAUUACGUCCCUGCCCUUUGUACACACCGCCCGUCGCACCUACCGAUUGAAUGGUCCGGUGAAAUCUUGGGAUUUUGUUUUGUUUGCAUUUAUUUGUAUCGAGACGAGAGAACUUGAGUAAACCUUACCAUUUAGAGGAAGGUGAAGUCGUANCA